rnacentral:rRNA from 1 species
AUGGUGGUUCUCGCCGGCUCGCCCGCCGUCGAUCACAUCCCGCUCCUCAGGUCGCCCGACCCCGGGGACAACUUCUCCGGCAUGCCGGUCGUCGACCUCUCCAGCCCUGGCGCGCCGCGGGCCAUCGCCGACGCGUGCGAGCGCUUCGGCUUCUUCAAGCUCGUCAACCACGGGGUGCCCGCGGACACGAUGGACAGGCUCGAGUCGGAGGCCGUCAGGUUCUUCUCGCUGCCGCAGGCCGACAAGGACCGCUCCGGCCCGGCCUACCCGUUCGGCUACGGCAGCAAGCGCAUCGGGCUCAAUGGCGACAUGGGGUGGCUCGAGUACCUGCUCCUCGCCGUCGACGCCGCGUCGCUCUCCGCCGCCUGCGCCGUCCCGUCCUGCGCGCUCUUCCGGGCGGCGCUGAACGAGUACAUCGCGGCGGUGCGGAAGGUGGCGGUGCGGGUGAUGGAGGCGAUGGCGGAGGGACUGGGCAUUGCGCCCGUCGACGCGCUGAGCGCGAUGGUGACGGCGGAGGGCAGCGACCAGGUGUUCCGGGUGAACCACUACCCGCCGUGCCACGCGCUGCAGGGGCUGGGCUGCAGCGCCACCGGCUUCGGCGAGCACACGGACCCGCAGCUCAUCUCGGUGCUGCGCUCCAACGGCACGUCCGGCCUGCAGAUCGCGCUCCAGAACGGGCAGUGGGUGUCCGUGCCCUCGGACCGCGACGCCUUCUUCGUCAACGUCGGCGACUCGUUGCAGGUGCUGACGAACGGGAGGUUCAAGAGCGUGAAGCACAGGGUGGUGGCCAACAGCCUAAAGUCUAGGGUUUCCAUGAUCUACUUUGGAGGGCCAGCGAUGACACAGAGGAUUGCACCAUUGCCGCAGCUGCUGGGCGCGGGCGAGCAGAGCCUGUACAAGGACUUCACAUGGGGCGAGUACAAGAAGGCUGCCUACAACUCCAGGCUCGGGGACAACAGGCUGGCUCACUUCCACAGGUAG